UAGAACUUCUUCACAAAAGAUCAACAGCCACUAAAAAUAUUUUAGUGUUGAGUUGUCAAAAGAAAGAUCCAUUCAGGAAGUAAUAAACUCCUUUCAUUCAAUUAAAAUAAACAAGAAAAGCUGUUUACUUUGGUUAACUGUGGCCUCUUAAUAAGACCUUGUGUUCCUCCCCUAAACUGCGGUUCUUUAUGACACACUUUCAUUUUUGCUUCCAAGGCUGUCCGUAACACAUUAUAGUGGAAAUGAUUUUGUUGCUGUUUGUUUUUAAUUUUGACCAAUAUAUUUUCCACAUGGGAAGGGAUGAAAGAGAAAUGCAUAGAAAGUAAAAAGAUAAAGAAUAAUGUGAUAAGGGUGGUUAAAAUAAAUAUAAUACCAAGAAAAAAAAUAUUGGAUUUAUUUUAGGGAGCAAUUUUGACAAAUCUGAAUAAAAGCACUUUGAAACCGAUACUCAGUUCUCCACAAGCAUCACAAAUGUUUAUAUUUCAUAGCCUAAUUCAGAUUAAUUUCAUCUACCAAAUAUUACAACAACAUCUGAAAUCAACCUACAAAACUGUGUGAUGCGUGAAAGAAAUCUGAAUUAAUAAGUUGGGAUACAUGUGUCCUUGUACUAUUUUUUAACUUAAUUUUCUGUAUGAAUUUAUUCAAGUAAUAUAUUUUCUCUAGGUCUGUUUAUUUAAAAAUGAUGAGAACUUGUUUAUAUGCCUUUCAGAGUCGCUUCUAUCUAAAAAUUCAUUUAAAUUUAUAUUUAUAUGGAAAUCUGUCCAUCAUUUCUUUCUUCCUUAAGAAUAUAUUGAGAUAUCAUUUUCGGCAUAAUACUUGGGCUAAAUAAAACACGGUGGAAAGUAGUGGAAGAGACACACCUUAUUUGGAGGAAAUUAUAGGACCUACAGGUGGCAAUGUUUCCUAAGACUAAAGUCAUUUUCAGCCUCUCUAUAUACUUAUUUCUCUUUUCCCCAAUUUCAAAGUCAAGUCUAUCUAUCACUGAAGGAUCGUUAUUAAAUUAUCCAUAGGAUGGGCUUAUCCACAUAUUGCUUGAAUUGAGCACCAUAAUCCCUUUCGAAGCUUCUACUAUCCAUUGAUUCACUAAGUCUUUAAUGAACAGUGAUCAUAAGAUGAACAUUGUGCCAGAUGCCAAGUAUGUUUUGCCAGGGGAAAAUAAAUAAAUAAAUAAAGCUUUGAAUUUGCUCAGAGUUUAAGUGAGAAGAUACAGAAUAACAAGAAAACAAAAAGUUAGUUCACCAUUAUAUUUAAAUUUCAUGGAUGCACACCAACAGGCCAAGUGGUACAAUUAUAUAAAUGACAGGAAUGAGCUACUUGGAUGGAACCAUCACUUUGGUGCUGUUAAAGCCGAGGUCAGAAGUAUGAGAUGGAAUCAUCCAUGGGAAAAGCAAAGGGAAGGACAGGUAUCCAGAGAGCGAGCAGUGCUGAGAGCCUGUGGUAUGACUGCAGAGUGGCCAAAGGUGAGUGAGGUCAGAGGAGCACUGAGAUGCAGUGACAGGACUCUGGAGACUGUCGAAAGUGUUGAUGUUUUAUUUUUUAUUUCAAUGCACAGUGAGGAGUUUUUGAAGGACGAGAAGUUGACAAAUGAUAUGCUCUCAUCUUUUUGGAAAACAAACACAAAAAAUGCACAUCUGUACUGGGAUGCUUGGCUGAGUUGCUGUGUAGUUUUGCCCAUUUUAUUGAUAAGAAAACUAGAAUCAAAGGAGUUACAUAGUCAGUCCAAAAUUCCCACACCUGAAAAGCGGGGGGAACUGAAAAAUAAGCUAUUUUUAUUCGACUCAGAAGUCCUUUCUGAUGGGCCUGCCUGCUUCUCUGUGGUGAAUCAGUUUCAUCAUAGGAUGAAUUCAUCACGGGAUGUUUGAGAACAUAGACUUAUCUACUGAUAACAUUUCACAAAUGAAGGUCUAGAUGCAGAGGGAUGAGAUGGUCGGGGAGAACCUCUCUUAUCCUUGGGCACUGACCAGAGGCCAGGCAAGUGGUGGGUGUGAGAGAGAGUGCAGGUUUAGCGGUACAAUCAUUUUGGCAUAUCAUGCUAUGUAAGGCAAGGCCAGAUACAGAAAACAUGGAAUCUGGACAACACCAGGAAUCUGAAGCUAUGGUAAUGAUUAUUAGCCCAAAAGAGAGAAGUCAGAAAGAUUUGGACUGAGAUUUCAUUGUAAAGGAAAGUGGAAAGGAAUAAAAAUAUAUCACAUAUGAAUAAACAAUUAGGCCUUACUAUAUAGAACAGGGAACUAUAUCCAAACUCCUGGUCCUGGGAUAGACCAUGAGAAUAUUAAAAAACUAUAUACAUAAAACUGAGCUACUUUGCUGUACAGCAAAAAUUAGCACAACUUUGUAAAUCAACUAUAUUUUAAUAAAAAAUUAAAAAUACAUCACAUAUGUGUUCAUCCUGUCUUGAAAACAGAAGGCUACCUCUUGAGCUUCUUCCAUAGCUUAUUUAGUGCUUAUUACUCUUAUUUUGGCAUUAAUGAUUCUAUAAAAUAUUUAUACAGCAUUUGAUAUUGUAUCAAAUUCUAAUUUGCAACAAAAUAUAUUAACCCAGAUUAAAAUCUGUCAGGAAUAAUUACUUUAGAAUCAACUAAACAUACAUUUUAAAAUUAUUUCUUUCAGAAGUAACAAAUGUCACUUUAUACCUAUAAUAGAAAAUACACAAAAUUCUGAAAAAGGCUCUGAGAAGCCUUCCCUGUCCACACACACAUUCACGUAUAUGCUCCCUAGGAAUAGCUGCUCUUAGAGAUGUUUAAACAUAUCCAUCUGUGACUUUUCUGUAGAUGUAAAAAGAUACAUAGAAACCCGCAUGUGAAUCUAACCAGGAUUUCCUCAUCUCUCUCACCAUUCUCCCCUGAGAGCUCACUUUGAGUGGCAAGGCUAUCAGUGUUUCAAGCUUCCUUGCUUCCUUACAUGGUCCUAUUUCACUGGUGACCACUAGUGACCUACCCCACCACUGUUAGGAAUCUGCCUAUUCCCUGUGGCCACAAUGGCACGAAGAAGGAAAAGAGAAACAUGAAAGCUGUUGGAACAGGUUGGCAAGAGUCAGCGAAUAUCAACUGCUCUUGCAACCCAAACCAAAUGAAUAAAACCUUGCAUGUUUCUGAAUCACAUUCUAAAGAUCUCCAUGGAAAACAGCAUCCUGAGGCUUCUUCACCAGAUAUGACUCUAUAGAGGAAUGAAUUCCCCUUCCUGAGGGUCAAAUCCCUCUCUUGCUAUAAUUAAUAGUCUCGUCUCCUGUGGCCAAGUGUCCCUUUCAAGCAGCAGGAGCUGCAGAUUUAAAUUCUAUCAUUUAAACCAGAAUGAAUCCCCCUAGCCUCACUGGAGAUAUCACCCAUGAAAAUAUGAUUAUGCUCCUUUGCUCAUGAAUAGCACCCAUAUAUCAUACCAUAAAUCAUGGAGAUUUUAUUUUAUGAAUUAAACAUGAGGCUUUUCCUUCAUGAUUGAGCUACUCCUUGGGUGGAAAAAAUGGGAAGAUUCUAAUGCUAUACAGUUCUGAGAUCUUUAUCAAAUGGCAUGAAAUCAUCACUCUCUUUGCUCUAAACAUAGGUCAUCAGCAAAUGUCAGCUACCUGGGAAAUGAAGAUGAAUUGAUCCCUGACACCCCAGUGCCAUGCCCUCCCUCCCUUAUCUGAACUGCCAGCUUUAUGUAAUCUCUAUGACUCACUUGGUCCCUGAGACAUUCUUUUGUACUGCUCUUUCCCCUGAACUUGUGUCUCUGAAGCAACCUGAAUGAAAAAAAUCAAGUCUAUUAAAUUUUCAAAUAUUUUUGGCAGAAGAUGAUGAGGACUGCACAAUAGGAAUCAAACUAGAGAGGUUUUAAUGUUGUCAUUCUUUCGUCUCCUUGAUAGCUUUGGCAAGCCAGAGGGAUCCACACACACAGUCUUUUCUGAUAGUUUGCACUUGGUUUCCUAAGGAUGAAUCAAAGGGAACAGGUCUGUGUUUGAAAGGACCACAUAGAGGUUAUUGUUAUAAGACAUAGUAAUGAAGAGAGUCUGGAUUUUGUAGUUCAGAAUUGAACUUUCAUGAGAUUAGGUGAUAAAAGUUCUCUACAACUAAUGGGAGAAGGAGAGGAAAGUGGGAAGAAGCGGGGAAGAAGUGAGUCUUGUGAGAAUGGGUCCCUAUUUAAGCAUCAAGGCAAAGGAUUAAGCAGAGCAGAGAGGGGAAAAGACGAGGCUGAAAUUAGAUGUGGAGAGUCACCAAGAACAAACCACCCCCUUCCCAAUAUUGCCUCAGGACUCCCAGAAAUAAAUCAGAUUAAAAUUUCUUUUUGUUUUGUUUUUUAUAUUUCCCACCAAUGGUAGUCUAGUCUUCCAACUGGCUUUUUGGUUUUGGCUUGAUGACCUAUAAAGAAAAGGACUGUUCCAUAGCAAAAUGAAUGAUGAAGCCCAUGGCUGCACCUAUGGCAUAUGGAAGUUUGGGGCCAGGGAAUGAAUCCUAGCUGCAGCUGUGGCAAUGCUAGAUCCUUUAACUCACUGUGUUAGGCUGAGGAUUGGAGCCGCACCUCUGCAUCAACCUGAGCCACGGCAGUCAGAUUUUUAACUCACUGCACCAUGGCAGGAACUCCAAAAUUGUUAUUUUUUGUUUUAAAUUAAGCCAAAGGAGGCUGAUAAUUUCCAAAAAGAAAUGUUGAUUCCCAUCCCAAUCUAAAUGUGAUCUCACUAGCCAUUUUGCAUAGGAUUGACUUCAUUGUUGCAUGGCAAGAUUCUAAAGGCCACAGAGUAUCCACAAAGCUCUAUCACUGACACCAAUAAUUGUUGUGUAAAGGGUGAUAAUGAUUCCCAGCUGACAAUGUACAAAUAUAAUUUCUUACUGCAAAUGUUCUCUUAUAAUUCUCUGUUGGAGGAUGGGGAGCCAUAUAAAAACAUAGCAGUUUGCAUGGACAAACAUCAUUUUGCUCAUUGUAAUUACUGCAGCCAGUCUUAGUAUAGUCUCAGUAGUGGAAUUUCCACCAUAUGAAAGAGGUUUUGCUCUCCUCAGUAGUAUUCAGGACAGAUGGAAUUGAAUUGUUCAUUCUGUGCCUCUUUGGAAUAUUACAGACUUCACAUUAAUACCAUGAGGUAUGGUUCUAAGAUCUAUUGAAAACAAAAGUUUACUUGAGAAAAGACUAGUUUUAUUAUGGUCACUUUUCUGACUUUAACCGUCUUUUUAGUUGACUUUUAACUAUUGUCUGAUACUGAACAAUUGACCUUUAUCUUCUUCCCUUAGAAGACUAGAAUUAAAAAUAUUUAUGGUUUGCAGUAAUGCAUUCACUUCUGUGGAGAAAUGUUGCCAAUUGGUGUUUUUCUCCUCUUUUUCAAAAGAUGAUUACAUGUUCACAAUUUACAAGGUAUUGUACACAUUUCAGCAGGAAAUUGUAAGCCUUUAUCUUUUGACAGCAAGAAGGAAUUACUGCCCUUUUUUAAAUAGCCUCCCUAUUUUGUCCAAAUAAAUGAUUCAUGCUGGAGACUUCAUGAUGUCUUUUGUUGGUUUCUGUGAAUUUCAACACAGGCAGUCAAAAGGGAAAAGAAGUAAUGCAUUUCUGAAAAUUUCAGAAAAUUAUAGGUUUUAUAUGGGAAGGAGGAUGCAUUCAAAUAUCUUUAGUCCUGGUUUCUUCUUCCUUCUAUGCUUUAUUAACGCAAAGCUUAGAGCAAGGAAAAGAAAAUAAAUGAGAGGGUAGGAAAUGAAUAUUUUCCUUUUCUCUCCAAGGACUGCUCAGUGCUCAGUUUCCUUAUCCUCAUAAGAGUAAAAGAAAUCAAGAGAUGGCUGCAGCCAUGUUGCCUAACACUUUCCUCAGUAUCAGAAAACUCCUCCUUAUUUAAAAAUAAUAGUAUGUUGAAGUUCCCACUGUGAUGCAAUGGGAUCAGUGGUGUCUCUGCAGUGUCAGGACACAGGUUCAAUCUCCAAACCAGCCCAGCAGUUAAAGGAUCUGGUAUUGCCACAGCUGUGAUGUAGGUAGAAGUUGUGGCUGAGAUCUGAUCCCUGGCCCGGGAUUAUGCCAUGGGUAGCCGAAAAAGAAAAAAAAAACAAAUAAACAAACAAAUGUGGAUUUGCUAGUUUGCCUUCUUCCAGAAGUUUCUGAACAUAUUUUUUAGUUAAACAAUUUAAAAAACCCACUUCUGUUAAGUUUAUACAGUAACAUUAUUUUUGCUGCUCUCUUAUUUGUAGUUUACUUGAACUCUUUCAUCUCUUGGACAUACAUAGUUGACAGGUGACUUAGAUGUCCUCUCAUCUCCAUAACUUUAUACUUUUGCACAUAGCAAAUUCUUUUGGAGCUUCCAUUAGUGGACCAGUAAGCAGUGGAUUAAAGUUUGCAAUAUUUUAGAGUUCCCUGGUGGACUAGUGCUUAAGGAUCCAGCAUUGUCACUGCUGUGACUUGGGCCACUGUUGUGGCAUGU
rnacentral:lncRNA from 1 species